AGGGAUGAAUAUGUGUGGGGCCUGGGGGAGGGACACUGGAGAGGUGAGGGCCUGGGGGAGGGACAGUGGAGAGGGAGAGGGCCUGGGGGAGGGACAGUGGAGAGGGGGGGGCCUGGGGGAGGGACACUGGAGAGGGAGAGGGCCUGGGGGAGGGACACUGGAGAGGUGAGGGCCUGGGGGAGGGACACUGGAGAGGGUGAGGGCCUGGGGGAGGGACACUGGAGAGGGAGAGGGCCUGGGGGAGGGACACUGGAGAGGUGAGGGCCUUGGGGAGGGACAGUGGAGAGGGAGAGGGAUUUAGAAUAGCCAUCAGAUGGAUGAGGCAGAGGCGACCACAAGGUUUAGAUCAACUGCAAUUCAGACGUGGAUCUCUUGAGCAAGAAAUCCUUUUCUGCUAUUCAGGGUCCUUUUAUUUAGCUGUCAGAGGCAACGAGACGCACGCUACUCUCCCUCCCACAAACCAAUCGUUUUAUUUAUAUCCAUCAUAACAAUUAAUUAAUUAGUAGUUAUUUACUCAGAACUGUUAAUGCGUAAUUAAGACUAUGAAUGCUUCAUCAUUUCAGUGAUUACUAAAAAUCCAAGUGUUACCACAACUAUCUUACUAAUUAAUCUGUAUACUAUUAACUUCUUUUUCAGACGUUUUGGUGUAUCUAUAGCCUAGCACUGUCUGGUUCUUGUUUUGCAGAGGUAAAGGGCUUUCCAACCAUAAUGUGUCAUGGUUGCUGUGCAGAGGAUGACUAAUGUCGAUUACGAUCGUUUAUGUCGAUGAUAUUUUCAAAAAUCGUUUAUUUUAGUGCCAUGCAAUGAACGUAACAGUGUUCACACCAAUUAGUGCACUUCAGAAGUGCAGCACACUAGAAGAUUUAGUAAGGAGGAAAAAAAAGUCGCUGUUCUCCGAUGUUCCGGGAGAAACGUUUUGUGAAAUAUUUAUAUUUUGUUCGCUAGGAUAGGUUGUUUGAGGCACAGGUGUUUGCAACCCAUAAGCGCCAUACAGCUUUUAUCAGACGAAACGGAAAACCUGCAUGUUGAAACAGGAGUUUUCCUCUUCAGAUCUGGCUAUAGAGUUUGAGACUUGGUAGAUUUGUCGGGGUUUCUUUAGAGAGGAGGUGGCGGCGGCGAUGUUAUUUAUUCUUCUAUUACUAUCUCCACAGUUCCAGUUCAAUAUUUCCCUGUUACACCACAAAUCCUUGAUUUUGCCAUUCCCCCCCCCCCCCCCCAAGGGAUCUUUUUUUACACACUGACUGAAUUUGAAGCAGAUGUACUCAUUAAAACAACAUGUCUGCCCGUUUUCUAGGCAGGCAGGUUACAUUGGGGGUCACCUAGCGUUAGCAAGGGCAGGCAGGUUACAUUGGGGGUCACCUAGCGUUAGCAAGGGCAGGCAGGUUACAUUGGGGGUCACCUAGCGUUAGCAAGGGCAGAGAUGUAGCAUCAUGGGACCUCGUCACAGCUCCCAAUGUUUUUUUUUUUAAUGUUGUAGUUUUUGUUUUUGUUUUCACUUACAUGAAAAAUAAAUGUAAAGCCUUACAAAGAUGCUUUUUGUUAAAGCGUUCCGUUUAAAUGAAGGAAUGAAAAUGAAACUUGUUUUGUUUUAAGAUGAAGUUUUUGCCUAUUUUUUUGUUGCAUAUUUUUACAUUUAUUUUUCUAUAUUUUUGACACUGCUGGCUAAAUGCUACUAGUACACCAAUGGGAAUGGCUCUCCAUAGACUAUGCAGGUCACAAGAGUGGAAAGGGUUCUUCAGGGGCGAACAGAUUUAACUCACUGAAAAGUCCUGAGAAAACUGGAUUGUAGCUGUUCUGUUAAAUCAAUACUUACCAUGGCUUGUCUUAGACAAGGAUCACUCUCUGCUAAACCAUAUAUUGAAUUGUAGAAUUUUGACUGCAUUCAUCUUUAAGAUUUGUUCAGACUGCAAAAAUAGAGUAAACCGAAACUGACCUGGGUUGUGGUUUAGUCCAGCACAACUAUAAACUAUAAAGCCUUGUCCAGUGAUUCAGCUGCCAAUGUUUCAAUGAAGUGGACAACCUUUUUAGGUUAGGAGCUUAUCAAUGUGAUGUGUACAGAACAGCCAGUUGAGCAACACUGCCCCCUUGAGGACAAUGAGCAGACUACUGAGCAGAGUCCAUUUUCUUGAUCCUUAAACUGUACCAAAAUGUAGGUGGUCCAUCGCAUACUGGGACUGUUGAAGUAUGUAUAUAAAUGUUUGUACAGACAUUGAAUAGCCUUUAAGCCUAAUGGAUGAGCUUUGCCCAUAUAAAAGCUUGACAGAUUUUCAUUCAGAGUUUGUUUGUAAAUGCUGUGCUAGAAACAAAUAAAGUUCAUGUGUAUUUUUGCAAUAAAGUUGCUAUCCUCUGCUCCAGAUUUGAGCAGAAUUUAAAGACAGUCUCUUUUUUUCUCUCUCAGACUCAUUUUCAUCUGUUAAAACAAUCCAAACAUUGUUGUCACACUCAUGCUUUGUGUAUGACGUCCCCCCAGAGCCUCUUACUCAUCGUCACAUGCUGCCAGGGCCUCUUCCUCAUCGUCACAUGCUGCCAGGGUUCUCUUCCUCAUCGUCACAUGCUGCCAGUGGCUCAUUCCCAAGUGUUGGGUCGUAACCUCUGGUCCCUGUGGCUGUGGAACCGCACACAACUCCCAUUCAGCCACUGUGCCUCAAGAACACAACCAAUGGAUAAGACUCCAUGCCCAUUUGUGUUAAUGCCUAAGACUCCAUGCCCGUUUGUGUUAGUAACUGUAUCAGGGGAGGGCAGAAGGACUAAAGUAAACCGAGAGGUUUACAACCUUUUGCAACACUCCAUACAUUGCCGGAGGUUGUGUUGAUAUAUUCACCAUUCGCAUUCUUUUGCUUGUCCCCCAAACAUGGACUCCUGUCACUCAGUCACGAGCCCUCAAGACGCCUUUCUUUAGCUCCUGAAAGGCUGCUGUACGUGUGGGUCUUCACUGCAAUACUUUAAAACCCUUUAUUUUCCCAUCACCUCUCUGGAAAGGGCUAUGAACAGGUAAAGACCGUGUACUGACUGUAGUAACUAUAUGACUGUAGGCAGGCAAUUACAUUUUUACCAUAACAAAAUGUCCUUGGACCUUCUGCUAGCAACACCGAAGUCAUGGAUUACAUAUCUAGGGCGCACACACACUUCUAAAACGUUUACCUUUACUGUGUAUUGCUUUGGGUAAAAUAAUUUGCUGAAGAUAUAAAGCCAGGUGUAAGUAAACAAUAAGACCAAGACAUUGCCCACGGGGGGGAGAUGAGGUAGCAACCCUAUAACAAGUCAUGUUCCUGCAAUCAAAAAGCAAAUCGAAAAGCGCUCUCGGCCAAUCAGCAAUGGGGUCAAGGGGUUGGCAAUUCUGUGUUCAGCACAGACGGUAAAUCAAAAGAAACGCUCCAGACACAACAUGAAGAAGUGGGUCUCGUAAUCUACAACUCUAUCAAGUUGAUGGUUAGAGAGCGGCCAGAGAGGCUGGGACCCCCGGCCUGGCGUCGAGGUGAGACGAGGACGUUGUCUGCUCUGUUGUGCCUUUCUGGAAGUACUUUGGAGAAGAUAAUAAUAAUAAUAAUAAUCAUUCAAUCUUAUAUAGCGCUUCUCUAAAUACCCGAAGUCGCUUUACAGAGUCCAGUAGUCAUUCAUACACAGUCAUACCGGUGGCGGUAAGCUACAUCAGUAGCCACAGCUGCCCUGGGACAGACUGACAGAAGCGUGGCUGCCAAUCAGCGCCUACGGCCCCUCCGACCACCACCACCAACAUUCAUUCAUAAGAUGAAGGUUCGGGGAGAGGAGGAGGUGAUUGGGCGCUCAGCGGUGG
ensembl:lncRNA